rnacentral:rRNA from 1 species
GAUGAACGCUAGCUACAGGCUUAACACAUGCAAGUCGAACGGAGUUUUUAGAGGAAGCCUUUCGGGGUGGAACCUUUGAACUUAGUGGCGGACGGGUGAGUAACGCGUGAGCAAUCUGCCUUCAAGAGGGGGACAACAGCUGGAAACGGCUGCUAAUACCGCAUAACAUAUAUUUGUGGCAUCACAGAUAUAUCAAAGGAGAAAUCCGCUUGAAGAUGAGCUCGCGUCCCAUUAGCUAGUUGGCGGGGUAGAGGCCCACCAAGGCGACGAUGGGUAGCCGGACUGAGAGGAUGAUCAGUCACACUGGAACUGAGACACGGUCCAGACUCCUACGGGAGGCAGCAGUGGGGAAUAUUGGACAAUGGGCGAAAGCCUGAUCCAGCCAUGCCGCGUGUGUGAAGAAGGUCUUCGGAUUGUAAAGCACUUUAAGUUGGGAGGAAGGGUUGUAGAUUAAUACUCUGCAAUUUUGACGUUACCGACAGAAUAAGCACCGGCUAACUCUGUGCCAGCAGCCGCAGUAAAAC